rnacentral:tRNA from 1 species
GAGGGUGUAGCUCAGGGGUAGAGUGUGUGCUUAGCACGCACGAGGUCCUGGGUUCAAUCCCCAGUGCUUCCA